rnacentral:rRNA from 1 species
AAAUUGAAGAGUUUGAUCAUGGCUCAGAUUGAACGCUGGCGGCAGGCCUAACACAUGCAAGUCGAACGGUAACAGGAAACAGCUUGCUGUUUCGCUGACGAGUGGCGGACGGGUGAGUAAUGUCUGGGAAACUGCCUGAUGGAGGGGGAUAACUACUGGAAACGGUAGCUAAUACCGCAUAAUGUCGCAAGACCAAAGAGGGGGACCUUCGGGCCUCUUGCCAUCGGAUGUGCCCAGAUGGGAUUAGCUAGUAGGUGGGGUAACGGCUCACCUAGGCGACGAUCCCUAGCUGGUCUGAGAGGAUGACCAGCCACACUGGAACUGAGACACGGUCCAGACUCCUACGGGAGGCAGCAGUGGGGAAUAUUGCACAAUGGGCGCAAGCCUGAUGCAGCCAUGCCGCGUGUAUGAAGAAGGCCUUCGGGUUGUAAAGUACUUUCAGCGGGGAGGAAGGGAGUAAAGUUAAUACCUUUGCUCAUUGACGUUACCCGCAGAAGAAGCACCGGCUAACUCCGUGCCAGCAGCCGCGGUAAUACGGAGGGUGCAAGCGUUAAUCGGAAUUACUGGGCGUAAAGCGCACGCAGGCGGUUUGUUAAGUCGGAUGUGAAAUCCCCGGGCUCAACCUGGGAACUGCAUCUGAUACUGGCAAGCUUGAGUCUCGUAGAGGGGGGUAGAAUUCCAGGUGUAGCGGUGAAAUGCGUAGAGAUCUGGAGGAAUACCGGUGGCGAAGGCGGCCCCCUGGACGAAGACUGACGCUCAGGUGCGAAAGCGUGGGGAGCAAACAGGAUUAGAUACCCUGGUAGUCCACGCCGUAAACGAUGUCGACUUGGAGGUUGUGCCCUUGAGGCGUGGCUUCCGGAGCUAACGCGUUAAGUCGACCGCCUGGGGAGUACGGCCGCAAGGUUAAAACUCAAAUGAAUUGACGGGGGCCCGCACAAGCGGUGGAGCAUGUGGUUUAAUUCGAUGCAACGCGAAGAACCUUACCUGGUCUUGACAUCCACAGAACUUUCCAGAGAUGGAUUGGUGCCUUCGGGAACUGUGAGACAGGUGCUGCAUGGCUGUCGUCAGCUCGUGUUGUGAAAUGUUGGGUUAAGUCCCGCAACGAGCGCAACCCUUAUCCUUUGUUGCCAGCGGUCCGGCCGGGAACUCAAAGGAGACUGCCAGUGAUAAACUGGAGGAAGGUGGGGAUGACGUCAAGUCAUCAUGGCCCUUACGACCAGGGCUACACACGUGCUACAAUGGCGCAUACAAAGAGAAGCGACCUCGCGAGAGCAAGCGGACCUCAUAAAGUGCGUCGUAGUCCGGAUUGGAGUCUGCAACUCGACUCCAUGAAGUCGGAAUCGCUAGUAAUCGUGGAUCAGAAUGCCACGGUGAAUACGUUCCCGGGCCUUGUACACACCGCCCGUCACACCAUGGGAGUGGGUUGCAAAAGAAGUAGGUAGCUUAACCUUCGGGAGGGCGCUUACCACUUUGUGAUUCAUGACUGGGGUGAAGUCGUAACAAGGUAACCGUAGGGGAACCUGCGGUUGGAUCACCUCCUUACCUUAAAGAA